GGGCCCGUGGCCUAGCCUGGACAUGCAAGCUCUAUCUUGUACGAGGUCAAUAGGGCACCAGCCUCCUAAGUUGGUAAUCCCCGGUUCGAAUCCGGGCGGGCCCGCCA
rnacentral:tRNA from 1 species